rnacentral:rRNA from 1 species
AUUGAACGCUGGCGGCAGGCCUAACACAUGCAAGUCGAACGAGUGGCGGACGGGUGAGUAAUGUCUGGGAAACUGCCCGAUGGAGGGGGAUAACUACUGGAAACGGUAGCUAAUAACGCAUACCAUCGGAUGUGCCAAGGUGGGAUUAGCUUGUAGGGGGGGUAACGGCUCACCUAGGCGACGGUCCCUAGCGUGUCUGAGAGGAGUACCAGCCACACGGGAACUGAGACACGCUCCAGACUCCUACGGGAGGCAGCAGGGGGGAAUAUUGCACAAUGGGCGCAAGCCUGAUGCAGCAAUGCCGCGUGUAUGAAGAAGGCCUUCGGGUUGUAAAGUACUUUCAGCGGGGAGGCGUUACUCGCAGAAGAAGCACCGGCUAACUCCGUGCCAGCAGCCGCGGUAAUAC